rnacentral:rRNA from 1 species
UGGGGAAUUUUGGACAAUGGGGGAAACCCUGAUCCAGCCAUCCCGCGUGUGCGAUGAAGGCCUUCGGGUUGUAAAGCACUUUUUGCAGGAAAGAAACGUCAUGGGUUAAUACCCCGUGAAACUGACGGUACCUGCAGAAUAAGCACCGGCUAACUACGUGCCAGCAGCCGCGGUAAUACGUAGGGUGCAAGCGUUAAUCGGAAUUACUGGGCGUAAAGCGUGCGCAGGCGGUUCGGAAAGAAAGAUGUGAAAUCCCAGAGCUCAACUUUGGAACUGCAUUUUUAACUACCGGGCUAGAGUGUGUCAGAGGGAGGUGGAAUUCCGCGUGUAGCAGUGAGAUGCGUAGAUAUGCGGAGGAACACCGAUGGCGAAGGCAGCCUCCGGGGAUAACACUGACGCUCAUGCACGAAAGCGUGGGGAGCAAACAGG